GAUGAACGCUGGCGGCGUGCCUAACACAUGCAAGUCGAGCGAUUCUCUUCGGAGAAGAGCGGCGGACGGGUGAGUAACGCGUGGGUAACCUGCCCCGUACACACGGAUAACAUACCGAAAGGUAUGCUAAUACGAGAUAACAUAAGAAAUUCGCAUGUUUUUCUUAUCAAAGCUCCGGCGGUACAGGAUGGACCCGCGUCUGAUUAGCUAGUUGGUGAGGUAACGGCUCACCAAGGCGACGAUCAGUAGCCGACCUGAGAGGGUGAUCGGCCACAUUGGAACUGAGACACGGUCCAAACUCCUACGGGAGGCAGCAGUGGGGAAUAUUGCACAAUGGGCGAAAGCCUGAUGCAGCAACGCCGCGUGAGCGAUGAAGGCCUUCGGGUCGUAAAGCUCUGUCCUCAAGGAAGAUAAUGACGGUACUUGAGGAGGAAGCCCCGGCUAACUACGUGCCAGCCGCCGCCGUAACAC
rnacentral:rRNA from 1 species